rnacentral:pre_miRNA from 1 species
UCAGGUGAACAGAGAGGACUGUGUAGUCAAGUGAACAGAGAGGACUGUGUAGUCAGGUGAACAGAGAGGGACUACACAGUCCUCUCUGUUCACCUGA